UAAGGAAUAUUGCUCAAUGGGAGAAAUCCUGAAGCAGCAACGCCGCGUGGAGGAUGAAGGGUCUAUGACUUGUAAACUCCUGUAAAGAAGGAAAAAAUUCCCAUUUGAUGGGAGAUGAUGGUACUUCUGGAGUAAGCCCCGGCUAACUACGUGCCAGCAGCCGCGGUAAUACGUAGGGGGCAAGCGUUGUCCGGAUUUACUGGGUGUAAAGGGUGCUCAGGCGGAUUUGUAAGUCAGAGGUGAAAUCUUACAGCUUAACUGUGAAACUGCCUUUGAUACUGCAAGCCUAGGUUAUGGAAGAGAGUGAUGGAAUAUCUGGUGUAGCAGUGAAAUGCGUAGAUAUCAGAUAGAACACCAAUGGCGAAGGCAGUCACUUGGUCCAUUACUGACGCUAAAGCACGAAAGCGUGGGUAGCAAACA
rnacentral:rRNA from 1 species